AUUUUAAUACUAUAAGUUCUACGUUUUCACUUCUAUUGGCAGUCUCUAUAACUGCCAACUUUGUUUUUAAUUAUUUUUCACGCAAUUCCGUCACGAGCGGUUAUUAAAUUAGGGCCGAGUAACUUGACCUUUCGUACACCUUGUUAAUUAAUCAAUUAUAAUAAAUCUUUUGUAAU